rnacentral:rRNA from 1 species
GACAGAGGGUGCAAACGUUGUUCGGAAUUACUGGGCGUAAAGCGCGUGUAGGCGGCUAAGUAAGUCGGGCGUGAAAUCCCACGGCUCAACCGUGGAAGUGCACUCGAAACUGCAUAGCUAGAGUCCUGGAGAGGAAGGUGGAAUGCUUGGUGUAGAGGUGAAAUUCGUAGAUAUCAAGCGGAACACCGGUGACGAAGGCGGCCUUCUGGACAGUGACUGACGCUGAGACGCGAAAGCGUGGGGAGCAAACAGG